UAGUUUCUAGCGUUGGAUGCACAUGAAA
rnacentral:sRNA from 1 species